rnacentral:rRNA from 1 species
GGCCUUUACUGACGCUAAAGCUCGAAGGUGCGGGUAUCGAACAGGAUUAGAUACCCUGGUAGUCCGCACGGUAAACGAUGGAUGCCCGCUGUUCGCGAUAUAUUGUGAGCGGCCAAGAGAAAUCGUUAAGCAUCCCACCUGGGGAGUACGCCGGCAACGGUGAAACUCAAAGGAAUUGACGGGGGCCCGCACAAGCGGAGGAACAUGUGGUUUAAUUCGAUGAUACGCGAGGAACCUUACCCGGGCUUGAACUGCAGCAGGAGGAUUCAGAGAUGAUGACGCCCUUCGGGGCUGCUGUGGAGGUGCUGCAUGGUUGUCGUCAGCUCGUGCCGUGAGGUGUCGGCUUAAGUGCCAUAACGAGCGCAACCCUUUCCGUCAGUUGCCAUCAGGUAAUGCUGGGCACUCUGUCGGUACUGCCACCGUAAGGUGUGAGGAAGGUGGGGAUGACGUCAAAUCAGCACGGCCCUUACGUCCGGGGCUACACACGUGUUACAAUGGGGCAUACAGAAGGCCGGUCACUGGCAACGGUGGUCAAAUCUUAAAAGUGCUCCUCAGUUCGGAUUGGGGUCUGCAACCCGACCCCAUGAAGCUGGAUCGCUAG